rfam:Nectria haematococca mpVI 77-13-4 chromosome 11 genomic scaffold NECHAsca_30_chr11_1_0, whole genome shotgun sequence.
GCCCGGUUAGCUCAAUCGGUAGAGCGUGAGACUCUUAGCUUGCGCAUCUAAGUGCAACGAGUACGCGAUCUCAAGGUUGCGGGUUCGACCCCCGCAUCGGGCU